rnacentral:rRNA from 1 species
CUUGGAAGCAGCCAUUCAUUUAAAGAGUGCGUAACAGCUCACUAGUCGAGGAGUCCGGCGUGGAUAAUACUCGGGCAUAAACUGUUUACCGAAGCUAUGGAUGUAGAAAUACAUGGUAGGGGAGCAUUCCAACGGCGUCGAAGGUGAAGGAUGACCUUUGCUGGAGCUUUUGGAAACGCAAAUGUAGGUAUAAGUAACGAUAAAGGAGGUGAGAAACCUCCUCGCCGAAAGACUAAGGUUUCCUGAUCAACGUUAAUCGGAUCAGGGUAAGUCGGGACCUAAGGUUAAGCCGAACGGCGAUACCGAUGGAAGAAUGGUUUAAUAUUCCCAUACUACUUUAUGGAGCGAUGUGGAGACGGAGAAGUGAAAGUCCUGCCAUCUGACGGAAUAGGUGGUUGAAGAGUGUAGAUGUAGAUUCCUGUAGGCAAAUCCGCAGGGAGAGUCGACCUUGACAGUAUGCCGCGUGCUUGCACAAGGCAAAAUGGACGUAAUCAGGCUCCCAAGAAAAUCCGCUAAGCAUAUUCAUAAAGUACCCGUACCGUAAACGGACACACGUAGUUGGGUUGAAAAUACUGAGGCGCUCGAGUGAUUCACGGUUAAGGAACUAGGCAAAUUGACCCUGUAACUUCGGGAUAAAGGGUCCCUACUGAGAGGUAGGGCGCAGAGAAUAGGUCCAGGCAACUGUUUAACAAAAACACAGGGCUGUGCAAAAUAGAAAUAUGAAGUAUACAGCCUGACACCUGCCCGGUGCUGGAAGGUUAAGAGGAGAUGUCAUCGCAAGAGAAGCAUUGAAUUGAAGCCCCAGUAAACGGCGGCCGUAACUAUAACGGUCCUAAGGUAGCGAAAUUCCUUGUCGGGUAAGUUCCGACCUGCACGAAUGGUGUAAUGAUCCGGACGCUGUCUCAACCAUGAGCUCAGUGAAAUUGUAGUAUCGGUGAAGAUGCCGAUUACCCGCGAUGGGACGAAAAGACCCCGUGAACCUUUACUAUAGCUUAACAUUGAAUUUGGGUAAUUGAUGUGUAGGAUAGGCCGGAGGCUUCGAAGCAGGUACGCCAGUAUUUGUGGAGCCGCUGUUGAAAUACGGCCCUUUGAUUAUUUGAGUUCUAACCCGUUGUAACGGGGACACUGUUUGGUGGGUAGUUUGACUGGGGUGGUCGCCUCCAAAAGUGUAACGGAGGCUUCUAAAGGUGCCCUCACGACGAUUGGUAACCGUCGGCAGAGUGUAAUGGCAUAAGGGCGCUUGACUGGGAGACUAACAAGUCGAUCAGGUAGGAAACUAGAGCAUAGUGAUCCGGUGUUUCCGUAUGGAAGGGACAUCGCUCAAAGGAUAAAAGGUACUCCGGGGAUAACAGGCUGAUCCCUCCCAAGAGCUCAUAUCGACGGAGUGGUUUGGCACCUCGAUGUCGGCUCGUCACAUCCUGGGGCUGGAGAAGGUCCCA